CAGCCGCCGCGGUAAUACGAAGGGUGCAAGCGUUACUCGGAAUUACUGGGCGUAAAGCGUGCGUAGGUGGUGGCUUAAGUCCGUUGUGAAAGCCCUGGGCUCAACCUGGGAAUUGCAGUGGAUACUGGGUCACUAGAGUGUGGUAGAGGAUAGUGGAAUUUCCGGUGUAGCAGUGAAAUGCGUAGAGAUCGGAAGGAUCAUCUGUGGCGAAGGCGACUAUCUGGGCCAACACUGACACUGAGGCACGAAAGCGUGGGGAGCAAACAGGAUUAGAUACCCCUGUAGUCCCUGUCUCUUAUAA
rnacentral:rRNA from 1 species